AAAAAAAACAAACCCUGGUUUCCGUGUCCAACGUUUGACCCUCCGUCUUAUUUAAAAAAAUUAUGAAAAAAAUUAAAAAGACAAGUCACGUAUAAAAUAUUAAUCAUGUUUUAUCAUCUAACAACAAUAAAAAUACGAAUUAUAAAAAAAAAUUCAUAUAAGACGGACAAUUAAAGUUGGACACGGAAACCCAGGGUUUGUCUUUUU
rnacentral:pre_miRNA from 1 species